rnacentral:ribozyme from 1 species
CGAUGAAUCUUCGUCUAGCCAUUUUGCUGUUUCACGAUCCCAAUCCGAACCAUCCCCCU